AGAAUCAACGCUGGCGGCGUGCCUAACACAUGCAAGUCGAACGCGAAAGUCCCGAAAGGGAUAAGUAGAGUGGCAAACGGGUGAGUAACACGUGGGUGACCUGCCUUCGAGCGGGGGAUAACGUCCCGAAAGGGACGCUAAUACCGCAUAACAUCCUGCCUUUUAAGAGGUGGAGAUCAAAGCCGGGGACCGCAAGGCCUGGCACUUGAAGAGGGGCCCGCGUCUGAUUAGCUAGUUGGUGGGGUAAUGGCCUACCAAGGCAACGAUCA
rnacentral:rRNA from 1 species